UAAUAAAGAUAUAUGUAAAUGAAUUUAAAAUGUAAAUAUUAAACAUACUUCCAAAUCUAAUUUUCUUUGCAGAGAUUGUACGUCUAA